rnacentral:misc_RNA from 1 species
GAUGAAGAACGCAGCGAAAUGCGAUAGGUAGUGUGAAUUGCAGAUGUAACGUGAAUCAUCGAAUCUUUGAACGCAAAUUGCAUUCCCUGGUAUUCCGGGGAGUAUGCCUGUUUGAGGGUCGCCAAAUACACAUCGAUUAACAUUGCUUUUGAAGUAAAUGUUUAUCGGAUUUGAGCUUUCUUUAUUCUUAAAAUGACAAGGAUAAAGUGGUUUAAAAUUUAUUUUUUUUUGGUAUCAAGCGUAUUUUACAAUCAAUUUUUGAUUAAAAAAGAACGUUUCGAAUGCCAUCCUUUUAAUGUAAUACGUUUGACUAUAUGUAAUAAAUAUGUAGUUCAUUCGCAUACGAUUCAUAAAUUUUUUUUUUGACCUCAAAUCAGGUAAGAGUACCCGCUGAACUUAAGCAUAUCAAUAAGCGGAGGA